GGCCGGUUAGCUCGGUCAGUUGAGCAUGGCGCUAACAACGCCAAGGUCGCGGGUUCGAUUCCCGCUCGCUCCC
rnacentral:tRNA from 1 species